CAAAUACUUUUUCACAAAAACAAUUUAAAUCGAAUAUCAACUUUGAUAACAUGAAGAUCAACUGGCACAAUCAUUAGACGACUGGUGACCCAGGUGGUCAAGAUAAAUGGAUAAGUGACUGGCAGGCGUAGGUUAAUAUCACUCUAUGCUUGCAGUUAGUUUUUGCGGCAUUGGCCAGUUAUCAAGAUAACGGAAAAGUACGGUGCAUU